rnacentral:rRNA from 1 species
CCUACGGGAGGCAGCAGUGGGGAAUUUUGGACAAUGGGCGCAAGCCUGAUCCAGCCAUGCCGCGUGCGGGAAGAAGGCCUUCGGGUUGUAAACCGCUUUUGUCAGGGAAGAAAUCCUUUGGGCUAAUACCUCGGAGGGAUGACGGUACCUGAAGAAUAAGCACCGGCUAACUACGUGCCAGCAGCCGCGGUAAUACGUAGGGUGCGAGCGUUAAUCGGAAUUACUGGGCGUAAAGCGUGCGCAGGCGGUUAUGCAAGACAGAUGUGAAAUCCCCGGGCUUAACCUGGGAACUGCAUUUGUGACUGCAUAGCUCGAGUACGGCAGAGGGGGAUGGAAUUCCGCGUGUAGCAGUGAAAUGCGUAGAUAUGCGGAGGAACACCGAUGGCGAAGGCAAUCCCCUGGGCCUGUACUGACGCUCAUGCACGAAAGCGUGGGGAGCAAACAGGAUUAGAUACCCUGGUAGUCCACGCCCUAAACGAUGUCAACUGGUUGUUGGACGGCUUGCUGUUCUAGUAACGAAGACUACGCGUGAGUAGACGCCGUGGGAGGUACGGCCGCGAGUAGAACGACGAAGUAGAGUAGACGGCGUGAGACGUAGACCGACGGACGACGACGAGGGGAGGAGG